GAUGAAGAACGUAGCGAAAUGCGAUAAGUAGUGUGAAUUGCAGAAUUCAGUGAAUCAUCGAAUCUUUGAACGCACAUUGCGCCCCCUGGUAUUCCGGGGGGCAUGCCUGUUCGAGCGUCAUUUCACCACUCAAGCCUCGCUUGGUAUUGGGCAACGCGGUCCGCCGCGUGCCUCAAAUCGACCGGCUGGGUCUUCUGUCCCCUAAGCGUUGUGGAAACUUUCGCUAAAGGGUGUUCGGGAGGCUACGCCGUAAAACAACCCCAUUUCUAAGGUUGACCUCGGAUCAGGUAGGGAUACCCGCUGAACUUAAGCAUAUCAAUAAGCGGAGGA
rnacentral:misc_RNA from 1 species